rnacentral:tRNA from 1 species
AUUAUCUUAGCAUAAUAGUGCUAAUAAAUUUAGAAUUUAUUCAUAAAUAAUUAAUAGUUAUUUAGAUAAUA